ensembl:lncRNA
GUGUGUGUGUGUGUGUGUGUGUGUGUGUGUGUGUGUGUGUGUGUGUGUGUGUGUGCGCGCGUGCGUAUCGAACACGGAAAAACAUGGCGGACUGGCAAGAACUAGUAUGGCAGAGGUUCGUAAAUACAGACAUUUGUAUGAUUCAGCUCUCAAAGAUCGUCGUGAUCAACAUGUUGUUAAUAAUUCUUGGAGAGAAGAAGCUCGCACUGUCGGAAAAGACGAGGAUGCUGUUCAAAAAUGCUGGAAAAACAUGAGGGACCGAUAUGUGAAGGCAAGGAAGGAGAACAAAGGGAAAAGCAGUGAUCCUGGUGGAAACAAGAACACUCCACCAAUUCUAAAAGAGCUGAGUUGACUCUCAACUUUCAUUAAACAUAGAGCAACAGAGAUCAACGUGACAUCAGCUGUGGUAAGUAAAGUUAUUUUUCUGUGAAGGUUAAAUAAAUGUAUUUGAUCACAGGAUUCAUAGAAAGACUUUGUAUUUAUUUUUCUUUUAAUGUUGAAUAACAGCUUCAAUAAAAUAAGUAUAUGUUAUUUUUAUUGUAUUUAUUUUGAAGGUUGAGGAUGAUUCACAAUCAGAGGCAGAUCUCCUCCAGUCUGCUUCCCCACCCUCUCCUGUCCCAACGCUGCCACCUUCAUCCAGUUCAUCUGAAUUCAGCACAAAAUGCCCCUGCACCCUCCAAGACACGUUUUCCUACAGUUCUCCAAUGGAAAAGGUCUGCUCCUCUCCAGGAUCCAGUGGUGGUUUAACCAGUGUCUCAGAGAGUCCAGGCCCAGCACCAAAGAGGAGGAAGAAGAUGGAUGAUGUUUUGCUCAAAAGGCUUGACAGGGUUGACCAUGACAAAGGUGUCCAUAAUGACACAAAAGACAUCAGAUUUGGAUAUGUUGUUGCUGACUUACUAGGAAAAAUAUCAUCUGAAAAGAAAAUGUCAGUCCAGUUCAAAAUCUUCCAGCUGCUGUAUGAAGCUAUAAAGUAAAAAAACUCAACAGUAGAUUUUUUUAUGGUUUAUUUUUUAUUUUUUUCAUGUGAAUUAACUCAGACUGAGUUACAUGUCAUUUAUGUUUACAAGAACCCAACCUUGAACACAAUAACAAUGGUGUGAUUUCAUGCAUUGAGUUGAGCUCUAUUCCUUGUUGCCCAGAGAACUGAAUUAACUGACUGCAGAACUGAAAGAUGCCCUUUCAUCUGCAGACACACGAUUCAGACCAGACCAGAGGCUUAAUUCAGUGUACCUCUCCUUACCACGCUUUCCUGCCAAGGUACAAGUCUUUGCGGUAACAGGAAGAAUGACUUAAAGUCAUUUCUGGCUGGAAUUGCAGCCCGAGUUGCUCAUGCCUUGCAUAGCUGUCCAGCAUCCAACAGGUUGCUGUCACCGGCAACUACUCUUCUCUAUUCCCCAUACACGACAUCACCUGCAGAUGUGAAAGAGUCAGAGAACCUGGGUGGGAUGUAGUGGGUGACUGGGGUGUUGGCAGCAUCAGUGCUGCUCAGGUAAUUGUGUAAAGCCACACAGGCCUUCACAACUUUAACAGUUUUGUCAGGGUGGAAGUCGAUUGGUCUUCUCAGGAUCCGCCAUCGGGCUGCCAGAAUGCCAAAGCUGUUCUCUAUCACCCUCCUGGCACUUGAGUGGCGGUAGUUGUAAAUCCACUGUGUGUCAUCAAGGUUUGUUCCUGCAAAUUAAGUUGAGAUUAGGUUAUAUAAUAAUCCCAAUUUAUAAAAUCGUCAUCAUAACACAUCUUAAUAAUAACAUACCUGGAAAAGGCCGCAUCAGGUUUUGGUGGGGAGGGAAGGCCGCAUCAUCUAGGAACACGUGUGGAACAGUAGUUGUGGAACCAGGCAGGUUGGCCGGGAGUGGUAGGUCCAGGGUUCCAUGGAGCAGGCUGCUCCCGAACAUGCACUCCUGAAAAACUCCACCAUCACUCUCUCGCCCAUAUGCCCCUAUGUCCACCCUGCUAAAUCUAUAGUUAGCAUCACACACAGCCAUGAGCACGAGGGAAUGAGUUCCUUUGUAGUUGAAAAAAAUCAUUUCCUGCAUUUGGUAGUGCUUUUAUGAUGUUUUCCAUCCACACAACCCAAACAAUUUGGGAAAUUCCACACACACCAGAAUUCCUGGGAGAUGUCUGCCCACUUGUUUUUGUCAGGUAAUAAAACAAAAUCACUGCACAACGCCGACCAAAGUGCCUCACAGACUUCAGUGACAAUGGGGGAGACUGUUGUGGAUCCUAGCCUGUAGCUUGUGCCACGCUUUGCUGACUGUUUCCUGAUACAAGCACACGAAGCGUGACAGCAAGUCUUUCUUCCAGUUUCACAGGGCUACUGUGGGUCGCUGCGUGGUUAAUAUAUGGUUGAAUACGAUGCAACAAGUCGUCAAAUAUAUUGGCAGACAUGCGGAAGUACUUGAAAUGUGAAAGUUCAUCGAUUCCACGCAUGGGUCUCACAAGGGAACUAUAUUCACCUUUGUCGCGUCUACUUUGGUUUAAUGGACGAGUGGACCAUCUCCUUUGUCGUCUGCUGUGUAGCAAUAGUAAAUAACAUACAAUUUCUUCCUCUUCAAGUAACCUCGCAUGCCUCACCCGUGGUGUAGCCAUGUUGUAAACAACAGUUAUUUCUACUUCUACUAUGGUGUAGUGUUGGAUGCAUGCUGUAGAGCUCCAUGCUGCCCCCUACAGUUUAGGAGAAUAUUGGCUCACCGCUGAGACAAGCCGCAUGAACCAUAAACGCUGCAAUUUGUGAAGCGCGUUCCAUUUGCUAGCCGCAUCACCAAGCGGAAAGUAAAUGCGUCAAGCAUAAACCGAGCUUAAGCUACAGCUGCUACACUCCUGCU